UUGACCUCGAAUCAGGUAGGAAUACCCGCUGAACUUAAGCAUAUCAAUAAGCGGAGGAAAAGAAACCAACCGGGAUUACCUCAUACGGCCCAAA
rnacentral:rRNA from 1 species